rnacentral:rRNA from 1 species
GACGAACGCUGGCGGCGUGCCUAAUACAUGCAAGUUGAGCGAUGAAGAUUGGUGCUUGCACCAAUUUGAAGAGCAGCGAACGGGUGAGUAACGCGUGGGGAAUCUGCCUUUGAGCGGGGGACAACAUUUGGAAACGAAUGCUAAUACCGCAUAACAACUUUAAACAUAAGUUUUAAGUUUGAAAGAUGCAAUUGCAUCACUCAAAGAUGAUCCCGCGUUGUAUUAGCUAGUUGGUGAGGUAAAGGCUCACCAAGGCGAUGAUACAUAGCCGACCUGAGAGGGUGAGCGGCCACAUUGGGAAUGAGACACGGCCCAAACUCCUACGGGAGGCAGCAGUAGGGAAUCUUCGGCAAUGGACGAAAGUCUGACCGAGAAACGCCGCGUGAGGGAAGAAGGUUGUCGGAUCGUAAAACUCUGUUGGUAGAGAAGAACGUUGGUGAGAGUGGAAAGCUCAUCAAGUGACGGUAACUACCCAGAAAGGGACGGCUAACUACGUG